rnacentral:rRNA from 1 species
UGCGUAGGGUGCAAGCGUUGUCCGGAAUUAUUGGGCGUAAAGAGCUCGUAGGCGGUCUGUUGCGUCGGCUGUGAAAACCCGGGGCUCAACCCCGGGCCUGCAGCCGAUACGGGCAGACUAGAGUUCGGCAGGGGAGACUGGAAUUCCUGGUGUAGCGGUGAAAUGCGCAGAUAUCAGGAGGAACACCGGUGGCGAAGGCGGGUCUCUGGGCCGAUACUGACGCUGAGGAGCGAAAGCGUGGGGAGCGAACAGG